GUAGACUGAAUAGCAGUACUUUCCCGUCUGAGCAGGCCAGAGCCAAGAGACCCAACCGGGGCAGGAGAGGAGCCUAAAGGGUAAAAGGUCCCAAGGCCCCAGAGCUGGAGCAGCCCAGGACCCGAAUGAAGCUGGCUCAGUGGGUGUGUCUCAUUCAUGUCAGGGCUGGAGAAAAGAGCCACAUAUUGCGAGGCUCCUGCCCCCUCUGGCACUGGGCACCAGUCCAGAGCCCAGAGCGGUCCCCCCGUGAAGAAGGACACAUCCCAGCGCUCUGGAUGUGCUGUGAUCGAGCUAAAUCUAGAGAAAAAUCAAAGAUGGGAUGAAGAAAGGAAUUAAUGAAAGAAUCAGAAAAAAGUGCGGAUGUGCAAUCUUCACCUGUUUAUUCGGUAGAGGGUGCCAUCUUCAGGUAGCCCUUCACGUUGUACAGAAAACAAUGGAGACUUCUCCUCCUGGGGCAGUGGUGUCACCCUUCCUAAGCUACAGAGAUGUUGCUUCAACUUACAGCUCAGAUAACAAGUGCCACUUCCAGGCUAAAGGAAUCCAUUCAGCAAACUCCCAGUAUGAAUGUUUCUGCUCUCGGCUGGAGAAACAGAAGAAGCAUUAAUGAAGGAGAGGGAUUCUACAGCAGCACAGUCCAAUAAAACUUUCUGUGGAGAUGGAAA